rnacentral:rRNA from 1 species
CGGAUCGCAGUCUGCAACUCGACUGCGUGAAGGUGGAGUCGCUAGUAAUCGCGGAUCAGCAACGCCGCGGUGAAUGCGUUCCCGGGCCUUGUACACACCGCCCGUCAAGUCAUGAAGGUGGGCAGCACCCGAAGACGGUGGCCUAACCCUUGUGGGGGGAGCCGUCUAAGGUGAGGCUCGUGAUUGGGACUAAGUCGUAACAAGGUACC